rnacentral:snRNA from 1 species
CCUUCCUUGGAUGUCUGAGA